AGAGUUUGAUCAUGGCUCAGAUUGAACGCUGGCGGCAUGCUUAAUACAUGCAAGUCGAACGGUAACAGAUUCUUCGGAAUGCUGACGAGUGGCGGACGGGUGAGUAAUACAUAGGAAUCUGCCCAUGUAGUGGGGGACAACUUGGGGAAACUCAAGCUAAUACCGCAUAAUUCCUACGGGAUAAAGAGGGCCACUGCUUGCAAGCUCUUGCUACUGGAUGAGCCUAUGUCGGAUUAGUUAGUUGGUAAGGUAAUGGCUUACCAAGACAGCGAUCCGUAGCUGGUUUGAGAGGAUGAUCAGCCACACUGGGACUGAGACACGGCCCAGACUCCUACGGGAGGCAGCAGUAGGGAGUAUUGGACAAUGGGCGCAAGCCUGAUCCAGCAAUGCCGCGUGUGUGAAGAAGGCCUGCGGGUUGUAAAGCACUUUCAAUUGGGAAGAAAGAUUAUGAGUUAAUACCUUAUAAUAUUGACGUUACCAAUACAAGAAGCACCGGCUAACUCUGUGCCAGCAGCCGCGGUAAUACAGAGGGUGCGAGCGUUAAUCGGAGUUACUGGGCGUAAAGAGUACGUAGGUGGUUAAAUCAGUCGGAUGUGAAAGCCCCAGGCUUAACUUGGGAAUUGCAUUCGAUACUAUUUGACUAGAGUACGGUAGAGAGAAGUGGAAUUCCUAGUGUAGCGGUGAAAUGCGUAGAUAUUAGGAAGAACACCAGUGGCGAAGGCGGCUUCUUGGAUCGAUACUGACACUGAGGUACGAAAGCGUGGGGAGCAAACAGGAUUAGAUACCCCUGGUAGUCCACGCCCUAAACGAUGAGAACUAGAUGUUGGG
rnacentral:rRNA from 1 species